GCCUGGCUGGCUCAGUCGGUGGGGCACGUGACUCUUGAUCCUGAGGUUGUGAGUUCAAGCCCCAUGUUGGGUG
rfam:Ailuropoda melanoleuca scaffold354_90, whole genome shotgun sequence.